GACGAACGCUGGCGGCGUGCUUAACACAUGCAAGUCGAACGGAAAGGCCCUGCUUUUGUGGGGUGCUCGAGUGGCGAACGGGUGAGUAACACGUGAGUAACCUGCCCUUGACUUUGGGAUAACUUCAGGAAACUGGGGCUAAUACCGGAUAGGAGCUCCUGCUGCAUGGUGUGGGUUGGAAAGUUUCGGCGGUUGGGGAUGGACUCGCGGCUUAUCAGCUUGUUGGUGGGGUAGUGGCUUACCAAGGCUUUGACGGGUAGCCGGCCUGAGAGGGUGACCGGCCACACUGGGACUGAGAUACGGCAGAGACUCCUACGGGAGGCAGCAGUGGGGAAUAUUGAACAAUGGGCGGAAGCCUGAUGCAGCAACGCCGCGUGCGGGAUGACGGCCUUCGGGUUGUAAACCGCUUUCGCAUGUGACGAAGCGUGAGUGACGGUAAUGGGUAAAGAAGCCCCGGGUAACUAAGUG
rnacentral:rRNA from 1 species